rnacentral:misc_RNA from 1 species
AAAACAUAUGUAUGAAAUUGAUUCAUGGUUGGGUACAUUUUCAGUUUGGUUCUUCAUCAGAACCGAGCCAAAACAUUAAAAUAAGUUUGGUUCGGAACCCCAAGAGCUGUGUACUGUCCUACUUAAGAUUCUCAUACUGCACCAAAUGCUCUUGCCAUUGCUAAUUUACCAGACAUGUUUUUUCUGAAACAUACUUUUUUCUCUUUAUCUUUGAAUAAUGGCUGAGUAUUAGGUUUUCCUUCUGGUGAUUUUUUCGUAAAGAUUGUUAGAAUCAAGCUUCGUCAGUGCAGUGGAAUCUAUGCAUAGCGUGCUUUUAGUUUUAGCCUAGAUGCAUGGUCUGUGUCUGAAGCUGUGGUAGUUUUUUGUUUGAUCGAUGGAGCUGACUGCUGAGCAUGCUUGAACAUGUUAUUUUCUGGUCCUUCACCAGUCAACCAAAGACCCACUUAUUAAUAAUCAGUCAAAUGGAAUGAUCAACUCCUUUAUUGCACACUGCAAUUUUCAUUAGUUGUUUGUCAACAUACUGCUUGAUUGCAUUGCAAACUUUCGCAAGCUUAUCAACAUCCUUCUUGAUCAGCAUCUUAGGGUAAAUUAUGCAACCUAACACUAAUAUUACCUUUUAUGCAAGUGCUUUGAUUCCACAAGAAAAUGACUAAAUCAUUUGUUGUUUUGUCUACUGAUGCACUCAAGGAAGAUUCAAUUUAGGAAU